rnacentral:lncRNA from 1 species
CUUAAGCAACUCCUGAAUGAGCGAUCCUGACUGAAUGGCCCGAGGUGUAUGUCAUGCUCAAACUCCGGUAAGUAGACUCACACCUGUAUGAGAAAAUUAAGAAAAAAUAAAGUUAAAGACAUAUAACACUAUGUGAGACAAUAUCAUUUCCUGUUGGACACAUGCAAGACAUGAUUGAGACUAUUUUUAUAAAAUGACUUAUGUGGCCAAAAGGGGGUUAGAAGUGCAAAAUUUGGUUAAGAUCCCACAGAGCCAAGAACCUAAGAUUCACUAGGAAGACCGGACCCUAUGUGGGUUGCCUACGUAUCACGCCCCGAAAGACGAGAAUCAGGUAUGCGUAGUUCGGGCAGAUUGGAUACGGGCAAGAAUUAAAAAAAUAACUAAUUUACAGAAAAUAUACUUUUUUCUUUUUUUUUUUGAAAAAUGAUGAAACAUGUAAACUCUUUUUGGAUUUUCUUUUUCCUCUUUUUUUGAUUUUUUUUUUUGAAAAAAAAAAUGAUGGGAAAGUGCAAAAUCUUUUUGGAUUUUUUUUUUCAUUUCCAAUUUUUGGUCUUUUCUUGAAAAAGCGUGAAAUAAAAUUAUAACUAGGCCCUACUUGCUUUAUUUUUUACACAUCAAGCUCCUUUCUUUAUCAUUUACCCUCAGCCAUCAUUGGGUCGCCAAAUGACCCUUUUACCCUUGAAGAUUGCAACAUGUAGCACAUUAUGAUGCAUCAGGAUGGUCUUUUAAUUUGGGGUACACUUAUCCUAGACGGACCCAGCCCCUAUGUUGAGUCCCCUAAGUCAAAUGCACGUGAUGUAAACAAACAUUCCUACUAGGGAUCCGCCAUGAAGUUAUGUUAUUCUAGAUUUUAAAACCUGGGUUUAUUUAUUCUAGACUUGGCUUACCUGAGCAGACAGCUCGAGCCGGGGGGGGGGGGCGAGCGUACCGAGAAUACAGAAACUUCACCAGCUUUGCAACUUGUUCGAACCUCGUUCUGAAAUUGGAAUAUGACUCUAACAGAAGAGAAGUCACACGAAGUGCAUACUUCCCAGAUGAUUAGAAGACUUAGAGAGAGGCAGGUUUCGUAACAAUAUAUAUACAGUCCAAACAAUAUCAAAGCGGUAAACAGCGGCAAUUAGCACAUUAAGCUCAAACAUAUAAAAAUCUUAUAAUAAAUACAAGCCAACUAUAACAGUUAUUCUAAGCUCGAAUUCAUUCUUUUUACUACCUCGAAAGGGGUAUAGGGGGAGUUUUUCAAAUUUAAGUGACAAUCAAAACGAGAUUAUUUAAUUAAAAUUCUGACUCGCCACUUGGGAUAAUUUAUGGUGUCCCAAGUCAUCGGUUUAAAAUCCUGAAUCGAGGAAAUUUGACUCUUAUUUAUGGUCUGCUAAUACAAAAAUCCGGGUAAGAAAUUUUGUUAACCCGGGAAAAGAUGUUAGGCAUUCCUGAGUUCCGUGAUUCUAGCACGGCCGCUCAACUAUUAUUAUUGGCUCAAUUAUCUGAUUUAAUUCCACAUUUAAAACCUACGUGCCCCUUUUAACCUUUUAACCGCUUUUAAUAUUUCAGGAAAAUUCAAAUUUUUUAAAACACAUCGUAAGUCACGCUACAUGAAAUGCACUCGCGUUCAUGAUGCAUUCUAUUUAACCUUGUUGGAUAUUAAAAUCGGGUCAUAUGAAAUGUACACCCGAAUUUUUAGAAAUUAAGCAUCACAACUACGUCACGGGAACCGUACCCGUAGCUAUGACAAUUUAAUAUAGCGCGCCUAAAGCAAGCUACGAUAGAGUAUUAAAUAUGAAAAGUAUGCUAGUUUUAUGACUUAUUAGUGAUAUUCCCAUACCCACUUAUCCCUUGAGUUUUAGAAAUAAACUAGAUGAAACGGUUGACACCAUGAAUCCUUAAACAUAAUGAAAAAUUAUUUUACACAGCUAAAGCGAUUUCUUUGCCUAGAACUUUAGGAACACAUAUAAAUUAGUUUUCACUUGAAUCAUGCAAUUUAUGGAACUUCAAAAUGGACAAGAUUCAAUAACAUCUAGAUCAGUGAACUCAUAACACAACAUUAAACUCAAACAUCACCACAAAGAACAAUAGAAUAUCAAUUCAAACGAUCAAUAAGACAACGAAACAACAAUCUCCAAAACAAGGAAAAGCACUAUAUUAAGCAAAACAGCAAAAUAAGGGAGAAAUAGACCUCAACCCGCUAGAACCCAGACGGAACUCGAACCGGAAACCAAUAGACAGUACCUCGAUGUGCGACUGAAACAGACUCCUUGCAUAACGACCCCCGACAACCUUGAAGCUCGCUGGAAAACUCGGACUAAACUAGAAAGACAAAAUCAACGAUCUCCAUAACAGUGACUCGCGAUUCAGAGCUGUUUCGAGCUAUUUCACAUUGUUUCGAUGGAGGUUUCGAGCAGUGGAGCGAGGGUACAGAGCUUUACUCUAUUGUUGUGAUGUGAAGAAGAUGAUGAUAGGUGAUCUUAGCUCUUGUUCCUCGUCUCUCGUCCCUGUUGUUGUCCGUUUUUCCAACCCCUGCUUUCCCUCGUUCCUCUCAUCUCUCUCUCGUGUAUAUCUGUAGGUGUGUGUGUUUUGUGAAGGAUGUCCAUUUUAUGAAUGGAGUAGGUCAUUUGGAAGAAGGAAACUCUAAAGCUUUUGUUUGAAUAAGCCUAAUUGUUGGUUCUCUUUUUGGAGAUUGUUGCCGGCAUUCCGAUGAGCUUGGUGGUGAAGAAACGAGUUGGUGGGUCUGUUAUGAAGAAAACGUUCAGGGGGGUCGUCGAAGAAGACGAUCUUUGGGGGGGGAUCCUAGGUCUGCGGCUAUCAGCUUUUUUAGUCUACGGAUAUAUUCUUUAGGUUAGUUUUUUGUGUCCAAAAUCCAUGGAAACGGCUGACCUCCCCUCUUUGUGCCUUAGGUCUUGUUUGUUUUUGUAGGUUUUUUUAGGUUAGGGGGUAUGAGCCUAGGAAUUAUGGGCUAGAUUCAAAAAUU